AACGAACGCUGGCGGCAUGCCUAACACAUGCAAGUCGAACGAGAUCUUCGGGUCUAGUGGCGCACGGGUGCGUAACGCGUGGGAAUCUGCCCUUAGGUUCGGAAUAACAGUUGGAAACGACUGCUGAUACCGGAUGAUGACGAAAGUCCAAAGAUUUAUCGGCAGAGGAUGAGCCCGCGUAGGAUUAGUUAGUUGGUGGGGUAAAGGCGCACCAAGGCGACGAUCCUUAGCUGGUCUGAGAGGAUGAUCAGCCACACUGGGACUGAGACACGGCCCAGACUCCUACGGGAGGCAGCAGUGGGGAAUAUUGGACAAUGGGCGAAAGCCUGAUCCAGCAAUGCCGCGUGAGUGAUGAAGGCCUUAGGGUUGUAAAGCUCUUUUACCCGGGAUGAUAAUGACAGUACCGGGAGAAUAAGCUCCGGCUAACUCCGUGCCAGCCGCCGCCGUAA
rnacentral:rRNA from 1 species